GAUGAACGCUGGCGGCGUGCCUAAUACAUGCAAGUCGAGCGAACAGAUAAGGAGCUUGCUCCUUUGACGUUAGCGGCGCACGGGUGAGUAACACGUGGGUAACCUACCUAUAAGACUGGGAUAACUUCGGGAAACCGGAGCUAAUUCCGGAUAACAUUUGGAACCGCAUGGUUCUAAAGUGAAAGAUGGUUUUGCUAUCACUUAUAGAUGGACCCGCGACGUAUUAGCUAGUUGGUAAGGUAACGGCUUACCAAGGCAACGAUACGUAGCCGACCUGAGAGGAUGAUCAGCCACACUGGAACUGAGACACGGUCCAGACUCCUACGGGAGGCAGCAGUAGGGAAUAUUGCGCAAUGGGCGAAAGCCUGACGGAGCAACACCGCGUGGGUGAUGAAGGGUUUCGGCUCGUAAAGCUCUUUUGUUAGGAAAGAACAAAUGUGUAAGUAACUGUGCACGGCUUGACGGUACCUAAACAGAAAGCCACGGCUAACUACGUG
rnacentral:rRNA from 1 species